GUAUGUUGCCCAUGUUAAGACAACUCUCCACAAGAGACCAAAAUGACACAGAUAUUAACAACUAUAGGUCACCGUACGGUCUUCAACAAAGAGCAAAGCACUACCGCAUACUCAGCUUCAAAAGGCCCGAAAUGACAAUGUAAAACAAUGCAAACGAGAAAACUAGCGGCCUUAUUUAUGUACAAAAAAUGAACCGAAAAACAAAUAUGUAACACAUAAACAAACGACAACCACUGAAUUACAGGCUCCUUACUUAAAUAAAUGUUCAUAACAUACUUAAUGUAUGUUCAUAUGGAAAUUGAUAGAAAAC
rnacentral:lncRNA from 1 species